UAUCCAGCACUGAAGCCUCUGACCACAGUCCCUCAGCCAGAGAGCAGAGGCUGGACAAAUGUGCACGGCCCUGAGAUCUCAAGCUGGACGAGAUGGCAUGGCUAAGGAAGAGAGACUCGUGCUUCUGUAAGAAUAAACAUCUGAGGAUGCUAUGAUGGUGCUGACAGUUCUCCUGGAAUGUGCACACCGCCACCGCCACCACUACUGCCUCGGAGCUCUGGGUUCAUCUCUCAUGGCUGUGAGCAGCCGAUGAUCCUUGCCGGAGCCGGAGAGUGCUCUUGUGACGCAGCUGGGUGCCAGCGUCCCUCAUCUAAACUGGUCACAGGAAUUUUCUCCUCCAAGGACACAUAGAAUAAAGAAGUCUCCCCCAAAGGAAGAGGGAUGCUGAGCAUCAUGCAUGCAUCUAAGAGAAGCCACGUCGGUGGAUCCCUGACUGAGCUCCAGGGGCACCUCUGAAAAGUGAUGAGGCGGCUGCCACACAGACACAGCUAGCUACCCUGUGUGCUCCUCGCUGGCUCCUCCCUGGCCGCUCUGGACCAGCGACAGAAGCACAUCUGUAGGACUCAGCAAUCGGUUCUCAACAAACAUACACUCAGACGGAUCUCAGAUAAACUACGACCUUGAACUCCUGAUCCUCCUGCCCUCCCCUCCUGGGUGCUGGGAUUAGAGGCCUGCAUCACUCAUCAAGUUACCCGCUUCCUGGAUCAAAACCUAGGACCCUGUAUGCAAGG